GAGCGUGGCCCCCCACACGGGAACUGAGACACGGUCCCGACGCCUACGGGCGGCAGCAGUGAGGAAUCUUGCCCAAUGGGGGAAACCCUGACGCAGCAACGCCGCGUGAGUGAGGAAGGUCUUCGGGUCGUAAAGCUCUGUCAGGCGGGAAGAAAUGCAUGGAGGUGAACAGCCGCCAUGCUUGACGGUACCGCCAGAGGAAGCACCGGCUAACUCCGUGCCAGCAGCCGCGGUAAUACGGGGGGUGCAAGCGUUGUUCGGAAUCAUUGGGCGUAAAGAGCGUGUAGGCGGCUUGGUAAGUCAGAUGUGAAAGCCCUGGGCUCAACCCGGGAAGUGCAUUUGAAACUGCCAGGCUCGAGUAGGGGAGAGGGAAGUGGAAUUCCUGGUGUAGAGGUGAAAUUCGUAGAUAUCAGGAGGAACACCGGUGGCGAAGGCGACUUCCUGGCCCUAUACUGACGCUGAGACGCGAGAGCGUGGGUAGCAAACAGGAUUAGAUACCCUGGUAGUCCACGCCGUAAACGAUGUUCACUAGGUGUUGGGGGUAUUG
rnacentral:rRNA from 1 species